AGCAGGGAAGGGAUCUAAUCUCAUCUGCCAGGUUGUAAAGGGAUAAUUUUGUCGGCUGCUUGUAGGAAAGAGCUUGUGGGCAAAGGCAGAAACAGGAAGCCAGUGAGACCAUAGGGGUAGUCACUGGGAUGAUGGCGGUGUGAACCCAGCUGGUACCCAGUAAAAGUCUGAGAUGAAGGAUUAGGAUUUGAGCUCAAACAGGCUGCAAUUCCCUGGGGCGCCUCAAGGUCGCAGCCUUGCCUGAGAACCGACAUUGUGACGUCAGGACAGAGGCUCUAGGGAAGAGAAGAGGGUCUCCGGGAUGCAUCCAACUUGUGGCAGGAGGAAGUAGAUGGUCUAUCCCAACGAAGGCAAAAGUGCGGCCUGGGAAGAUACAGGACCAAAAAUGGAACCCGGCCCAGGAGCUAUCUGAACACUUGCGUUGAAAAUAACAGACGAAUGUCACCUACACCCCAGAGAGACCUUCAAUACUCCCUUGGCACUGGAACCAAAUCAGGGUGCGACCCAAUGCAAGAGGAAGACUCACCUGGGCAGAAUGCAGCACUAGGACGUCCACACCGCCUGCCACGCGGAAGCCAGGCACGGAAGCAGCUCCGUGACUACGACUCCCACAAGACCUUGAGGCUGACGUAAUUACGGCUACCAGAAUGCAUUCCUGCGACUCUGAGGGCCGCUGGUCCUACAACUCCCAGAAAGCUUUGCGCAUCCUCAAUAGGCCUACAAUUCCCAAAAUGCACUGCUCAAUACCUUCCACAAGGGCUGGCUUACAGGCGGAGCUGCGAACACUGUCGUUGAGGCGGGACAUUUGAAAUUUGUAGUAGUUGCACUCUAAUUUUCCACUUUUAUGAGAUGAGAAGCAAAAGGACUCCUGGCCCCUGGUCUUCACUCUGAUCAGGGGGUCCAUCAUGGGAGCUGUCUUCCUCCUCAUCUAUGGCCUCACCUGGAUCCACUAUACCAGAUUAACAUCACCAUCCACUUUGGUCCAAGAAACUUCUGCUUGCAGUGAUCAAUGGUGACCAUAGAGACUCCUAACUCAUCACAGUGCUGAGAAUGGCAAUGCUCAGCCAUAAAUUGGACACAUGCAUCACCCCUGCAUGGGUGAGAGACCAUUGCAGAAAAAUGUGGCAGCAUUAGAGCUGGAGAAACUGGAGGAGAGGCGUGGAACUCUUUUCCCUGGACAUGACAUGGCUGUGGCAGUGUCGAUUGAACUUAUAGCAAGGGUGGUUUCAUGCACAAGACCUGUGAAGGGUUGGGCCUAUCAAUACUUUGUUAAAGAGGAGGAAAGGGCUGUGAAGUGGGAUUUGUGUAGAAAUAAUAGUAUUAUGUGGGAGGGAGUUAAAAGGAGGGAUUUUGCAUAAUUAAUGGUUGAUGAGGGAGGAAGUUACCAAGGAGGCUUUUUCUGUAUGAUUUAUGGAGCAGGAUGUUAACAAGAGGGAGUUGUAUAUAAUUAAUGGUUUAUGAGAGAGGGAGUUAUCAAGGGAGAUUUGUAUGUAAUACUUUUUAGGGGAGGGAGAGCCACUUACUUCAUUGGUGAAGCUGUUGGUACGAUGCCCAUGCUCCAGCAAGUUACACUAAGGAAAGUCACUGGUGCCUCUACACACAGAGAGAAAGAGAUGAAAUUAGAAGGGAAACUGGUUGGAAGAAGAUGAGGAUUGGCAGCAGUGGGAAGGGUUCAUGAAAGUGUGAUGGGACGUAAUGUGACAGAAAGGCAUUGUGUACACGUAGGAAAAUGUUAUAAUCUUAUUAGUAUAAAUAAAAAUAUGAAUAAAUCUUA